UACGUAGGGUGCAAGCGUUAAUCGGAAUUACUGGGCGUAAAGUGUGCGCAGGCGGUGAUGUAAGACAGUUGUGAAAUCCCCGGGCUCAACCUGGGAACUGCAUCUGUGACUGCAUCGCUGGAGUGCGGCAGAGGGGGAUGGAAUUCCGGCGUGUAGCAGUGAAAUGCGUAGAUAUGCGGAGGAACACCGAUGGCGAAGGCAAUCCCCUGGGCCUGCACUGACGCUCAUGCACGAAAGCGUGGGAGC
rnacentral:rRNA from 1 species